CCCCCAGGGCUCCAGGUAAGAAUGCUCAGUCAGGAAUGAAGGCAGAAAUAAGCUACUAAAAACUGUAGGAGGUUAAUAUUAACUUCCUUUUCCUUCAUGAAGAAACCCUGUUGUCUGGGAUUAACUGGUGAAACCAGCCGGGCGAGAUGGUUCAUGCCUGGAGUCUCUAGCUACUCGGGAGGCUGAGGCAGGAGGAUCGCCGUGAGUGUGAGGCCAGCCUGCCUACACAGUGAGUUCAAGUCCCACAUGGGGGCGCGCACCUGUGAUCCUAAGGACUUGGGAGGCUGAGGCUGGAGGAUCGGCCAGGAGUUCAAGGUCAGCCUGAAAGAUAUAAGGAGACCCUGUCUCAAAAAAAAAAAUUUUUUGGGGGGCUGGCAAACACAAGGCCCUGAGUUUGAUUCCUGGUUCCAAAAAGAAUGUUUUUAAAUUUUUUUGAGUCCAUGUUUGCAGUACAUGAUCACAUUCCUCAUAGCGAGUUGGUACAUAGACAGGAACAGCUUCAUUCUUUUUAUGUCCCCUCCCUGUCCCAUCUCUGGUCCCCUUCCCAUUUGCAAAAAAAUCUACAGGGCCCAGGAUUUAGCUCAGUGGUUCUGCUGCCUGCCUCAAAAGCGGAAAGUCCCGAGUUGAUCCCCUGGUACCAAAAAGAAAAAAAAAAUCUACCUCUUGUAUUUCCUAUUAAACUCAGGACCUUGCACUCUGCGAGGCAGGCACAGAGCCACUGAGCUAAAUCCCCAGCCCUUCCUAUCUUUUACUUUGGUCUUUAAUUUAUUUAUACUUGGGUUUCUCACAGAAGAGAAACCGAGGAGACAAGCUGCGCUGCGUGUCCGAUUUGGUUCACUGACUGUCCUUUGUCUUCAUUUCCACGGGGCCUCGGGUGACAAGCAGGGCCCUGGGUCUCAGCGAGGGAAAGGGGAGUAGCAGAGCCCACAGCGCAGAUCCAGGCUCCCCUUUGUGGGACCUGUGUCCCCAUCUGGUGGAUCUGGUGGGAAAGUGACUGUGUCAGGGGAGGAAACCGGGCUGGCCGAAGGCUUGACGCUGUCUCCUUGGCAGCCGGAUAUAAACUCAACCAGGUCCUUUGUGGUGCUGGGGAUUGGACCCAGGCCCUCCAUCCCCCAUAACCCACACCCUGCCCACAAAUACUGUCAUCUGCACAUGGGCAGUAACCUCCUGCACCCUCCCAGGC
rnacentral:lncRNA from 1 species